ACCCAGUAUACCCAUAGGUAUGAUAACGCCCCGCACGUGCACGCACAUGGAAGCAUGUGCCUCCUACAGUCCUACUCCCUCCUGCACGCCCGACAUGACACGAGGCUGCCUAGCUCACACGUAGGACUUGACCGCGUCGCUGUACCCCGUGAGCCCGUCGUAGUACCUCGACCAGAGCAUGAUGCCCCCGUACUUGGUGGAGUUCUUGACCACCGGCAGCACCUGCGCCACGAGGUCGCUCGCCGGCACGAACCCGCUGCCAGCGGCCUGGGGCGCGGCGGGGAGGCCGAGGAACACCCGCCCCGCCCUGAUGGACGUCCACUGCGCCCACGCUUGCGCCAGGCUGCCCACGCCGGCGCUCGCGCUGUACUGGCACGGCGGGUUGUUGUAGAACUGCACCCACACGUAGUCGAACAGCCCCGUGGCGAGCGCGGUGCCCAGCGACGCGUCCGGGAACGGGCACUGCGGCGCCGCCGACAGGUACACGGGCCUCCGCGCGCGCCCGCGCCCGCGCCGGGAGUAGGACUUGAGGAACCGGGCCAGGUCGUCCCAGUACAUGCCCCCGCCGCUCUCGAUGUCGAAGUCGACGCCGUCGAGGACGGCGUCGCCGAGGGGCCUGGACUCGGACCCGCCGCCGCCGAGGUAGUUGUCCCAGAGGUACGCCGCGACGCUCCGGGCGUCGGCCCGGGACGAGAGGCCGUAGCUGCCGACGCCCCCGCCGAUGGAGAGCAGGACCUUGACGCCCAUGCGCUGGCACGCCUUGACGUCCGCGCCCACGCCCGUGCACCCGCCGCUCGCCGGGUCGCAGUGGCCCGCCAGGUUCAGCGCCGGCGUCUGGCCCCUGCCGAACGUCGGGAGGAAGGCCACGUUGACGAACCUGUAGUUGCCCGUGGCGCAGGUCUGCGCCAGCGUCCCCUCGUUGCCGUUCUGGCCCCAGUAGAUGGCGAUGCCGCCGCCGGCGCGCGCUGUGGCGGCUACCCCGCCCAGUGCCAUCAGCACCGUGGCCAUGGCCAGUGCCAUUGACGGAAACUGGCUGCUUCUCCUACCCAUCUUGUUUCUCGAGCUCUUUGGUAUGGCCUUUAUAUAUCGCGCGCGCGCUACGACGAUAGUGCGUCCUGCCUGCGUCGUCGGCGGCAGUGUUUGACCGCUGACGCUGUGCGCGAGGGUCGUCGCUAUUGACUUUUGAUGGAACAGACACAGCGGCCUCCACUGAUCGGGCGUCCAAGUGCGACGACCAUUCCCUCCUCAGCUCUUCGAGUUUUGUCACGCGUGCCUCUGCUCAUAAAGUCAGAAUUCACUAAACGCUCAGUGCG
rnacentral:misc_RNA from 1 species